GACACUCUGGCCUCAAACUAUAUGUUUCCAGUCAAGAGUUCCUAUGCACUGGAAAUUUCAGGCAGCUUAUUUGAGUUCCUUUGUCAGGUAAAGAAGAAUGAUCUAUCACGUACGGAACUCAUUGGGGUUCUAGGCAACCUCAAUGGUUUCUGUGAUGUUGUGAUGUUGCUGUUGUUGUCCUGUCAUAAAUACCCAGACAUCUUGACGACUACACUCAGCUCAAGAUUUUAUCGUCUCCUGUGCUGCUGCAGUAUUUGUGUCACUUGGGAAACACUGCCAGUGGAUGGGAUUGGGUACAAGUGUAAUCAGAAAGGCCACCGAGGCAGGGAAGGAGGACAGCUGUCCUAAGCAUUCAGAGCUUUACAUUCUGUGCCGUUCUGAUAUGACCAACUACAGAAUCAAAGAUAUCCAGCAAUAGUGAGGAAGAGGAAUUAAGGGAGCCAGCUGAUAUAGCUGCUUAAGAAAAUUGUUCCUGAUCUGCCUUUGCAAUAGUUCUUGCCCAUUUACAGUGAAAUCUUGUCAGAUCUCCAUUCCUUGGAGCUGUUGUGGGUCAGGAGCAGAUAAUUUCCACAUUAUUUGUGUGAGGAUAUAUGGAGCGUGAGAAGAUUUUACCUGGAGAUGUUGAGAUGGGGUAAGCGAAGAUCCUGAGUGCUGGACCAGAGGUGUGAGAAUUGGUAGACCUGCAUAAAAUGAUGAAGAAAUGUUUAGGGGAAGAAGUCAGAGGAACAAAGAUAGUAUCACCCAGAAAAGGCUGUGAAAGGGGCUGAUUGCAUAUAAAAUGCGCCUAUCUGAA